AACUUGCUAGCUCAAUUGGUAAAAUACAAAGCUCUUAACCUUGUGGUCGUGGGUUCGAGCCCCACGAUGGGCA
rnacentral:tRNA from 7 species